GAAUAAAAAAAGAAUUCCUCCGACAUUCAUUUUAAUCUCUCCGUGGAACUAGAUAGUUUUUACUCCUUUUUUCUGACCAAAACUUCAAAGUGAAUUCUCUUCAACAGGGAAGAAGUAAAUCAAUGGCUUAUGGUUGUAUUCAUUCAAGAAGUUAUCCAUUAUCUACAUGGUCCAAAAACAAGGUUCAAGGAAACGAAGUAGCUUUUUCUUUAGGUUAUGGGUUUUCAAUUUGCAGAACUCCCAAUGUUAAAUGUUCACAAAAGCUGGGUGAACAAUCACUGAGCAUUUCCAGAGCUGUUGAGAAGAAACCAGUGAAGAAAUCUGGAAAGAACGAGCAUCACUUGUGGAAGAAAAGAGAUUCAGCUGGCUCAGGACAAAAGGCACUCAAUCUUGUUAGAAUUGUUUCUCAACUUCCCAGUGAAAAAGAGACUGUUUAUGGAGCAUUGGACAAAUGGGUGGCUUGGGAGACUGAGUUUCCAUUGAUUGCAGCUGCAAAAGCUUUACGAAUUUUGAGGAAGAGGAGCCAAUGGCUGCGUGUUAUUCAAGUGGCAAAGUGGAUGUUGAGCAAAGGCCAAGGAGCUACGAUGGGUACAUAUGACACCCUUCUACUUGCUUUUGAUAUGGAUAAUAGAGUGGAUGAGGCUGAAUCAUUGUGGAACAUGGUUUUACAUACACACAAUCGUUCUAUCUCAAAGCGAUUGUUUUCUAGGAUGAUUUCUUUAUUUGAUCAUCAUAGCAUGCCAGAGAAGAUAAUAGAGGUAUUUGCAGACAUGGAGGAGUUAUGUGUCAGACCAGAUGAAAACACAGUCAGGAAAGUAGCUCGUGCCUUUCAGGAACUCGGCCAAGAAGACAAGCAGAAGUUGAUUCUUAGAAGAUACAUAAGCAAAUGGAAAUAUAUCCACUUUAAUGGCGAACGGGUUAGAGUGAAAAGACAUACAUCAGAUGAAGAAUGACGUUCAAUUCAUGCACUAAUGGUUGACAAUGAAGGCUGUGGUGGUUGGCAACUCCUGGUGGCAGUUUGGCCUUAAAGAAGUAUAUACCAUUGCAUCUGGCCAAUAUGUGAUUUUCAAUGAAGUGUGAGAAACAUGAAAGGCCAGUUACAUGAUAGUACCACCAAGAUGUCAAUGGAAGUUGCUGCCUCUAAUUUCCCUCCAUUGUAGAUCCAUCAGUGUUCAUACCGUUGAUCCAUGAAUUUGUCAGCUCUGUUAAGAGUUUAACUACAUCAUCUGAUGAUCCAAGGAGAUACCGAGCAUUAGACCUUUUCCGAGCUACAGAGCAAGAAAAAUAGUUGUCCCCCUGAAGAUCAAGUACUGAAGAACCCUCUUGCAACGACAUUCUAUCUACCACCCUUGAUUGAAAAACAUCUGUGUUUACAUGGUAACUUUUGCUUCUCCCAAUAGUUGGCAUAGGACGAUGUUUCUUAAGGCGAUCUUCCCUGGAUAGACUUCUACUCGUCGAUAACUUUGAAACAGAUGUCCUGACUGGUGGUGUUACAUGGGAUCUGACAGGGGCUGGCACUUCUGAAGGAAGCUCUGGCUCAAAAAAGGUAUAAAUGUCUUCAUCCUGAACCAAUUGCAGAAUGUUUAACUUCCAAUUAUUCACAUUUAAGGGUGAAGAAUGAGCAUCUUUCUGUGUUCCUGAACA